UCAGCAACGGAUCUCUUGGCUCUCGCAUCGAUGAAGAACGCAGCGAAAUGCGAUAAGUAAUGUGAAUUGCAGAAUUCAGUGAAUCAUCGAAUCUUUGAACGCACCUUGCGCUCCUUGGUAUUCCGAGGAGCAUGCCUGUUUGAGUGUCAUUAAAUU
rnacentral:rRNA from 4 species